GCUUUUUGAAAAAAUUUAAAGUCUGGUCUGCUCACUGAAAAGUUUAAAGAGCCGCAGUAUUUUAACUGUGCAAAGGUAGCAUAAUCAAUUGUUUUUUAAUUGAAAACUAGUAUGAAUGAUUGAAUGAAACAAAUAUUUUUUUUAUUUUAGUAAGUUGAAUUUAAAGUUUAAGUGAAAAUUCUUAAAUAGAUUAAAAAGACAAGAAGACCCUAUAGAUUUUUAUUUAUUUCUAUAAAUUUAUUGUAAAAGUUUUAAAGAGUUAAAUUUAAUUGGGGUGAUUUUGUAAAAUUAUAAAUUUAAUUUUAUUAAACCAAAAAUUGAUGAAUUUUUUGAGUUAAAUGUUUUUAUUUCAAGAUUAAAAUACCUUAGGGAUAACAGCGUAAUUUUAUUUAUAAGAUCAAAUUUAUAAUAAAGUUUACGACCUCGAUGUUGAAUUAAGAUAAAACAUUGAAGAAGAAAGUGAUGUUAGUAGUCUGUUCGACUUAUAAAAUC
rnacentral:rRNA from 1 species